GUCCCUUUGGGGAUAUUUAAUAAAAUUGAAACGAUACAGAAAAGAUUAGUAUGAUCCUUGCAUAAGGAUGACUCGCACAUAUCAAGAAAUGGUCCAAAUUUUU